GAUGAACGCUAGCGGCAGGCCUAACACAUGCAAGUCGAGGGGCAGCACAUAAAGUGGUCUACUACUUUUGGUGGCGACCGGCGGACGGGUGCGUAACGCGUAUGCAACCUGCCUCCAACAGGGGGAUAACGGAGAGAAAUUUCCACUAAUACCCCAUAAUAUCAGAAUCGGCAUCGGUUUUGGUUGAAAACUCCGGUGGUUGGAGAUGGGCAUGCGUUGUAGUAGAUAGUUGGUGAGGUAACGGCUCACCAAGUCGACGAUACAUAGGGGGACUGAGAGGUUAGCCCCCCACACGGGUACUGAGACACGGACCAGACUCCUACGGGAGGCAGCAGUGGGGAAUAUUGGUCAAUGGGGGCAACCCUGAACCAGCCAUGCCGCGUGCAGGAAGACGGCUCUAUGAGUUGUAAACUGCUUUUACAAGGGGAUAAAUCGGUGUACGUGUACACCGUUGAAGGUACCUUGGGAAUAAGGAUCGGCUAACUCCGUGCCAGCCGCCGCGGUAA
rnacentral:rRNA from 1 species